rnacentral:rRNA from 1 species
CCUAACACAUGCAAGUCGAGCGGUAACAUGAUUUGUAGCAAUACAAAUUGAUGACGAGCGGCGGACGGGUGAGGAACACGUAGGAAUCUGCCCAGAAGCGGGGGACAACCAAGGGAAACUUUGGCUAAUACCGCGUAAUCUCGCAAGAGUAAAGCUGCCCGCAAGGGUGGCGCUUCUGGAGGAGCCUGCGUCCGAUUAGCUAGUUGGUGAGGUAAGAGCUCACCAAGGCGAUGAUCGGUAACUGGUCUGAGAGGACGAGCAGUCACACUGGGACUGAGACACGGCCCAGACUCCUCCGGGGGCAGCAGUGGGGAAUAUUGGACAUUGGGGGCCACCCUGUUCCAGCGAUGCCGCGUGGUUGAAGAAGGCCUUCGGGUUGUAAAGCCCUUUAGGUUGGGAAGAAGUGUACGGGGCGAAUAACCCCGUAUGUUGACGGUACCGACAAAAUAAGCACCGGCAAACUCUUUGCCAGCCGCCGCAGUAA